rnacentral:rRNA from 1 species
CCUACGGGAGGCAGCAGUGAGGAAUAUUGGUCAAUGGACGAGAGUCUGAACCAGCCAAGUAGCGUGAAGGAUGACUGCCCUAUGGGUUGUAAACUUCUUUUAUAUGGGAAUAAAAUGUUCCACGUGUGGGAUUUUGUAUGUACCAUAUGAAUAAGGAUCGGCUAACUCCGUGCCAGCAGCCGCGGUAAUACGGAGGAUCCGAGAGUUAUCCGGAUUUAUUGGGUUUAAAGGGAGCGUAGGUGGAUUGUUAAGUCAGUUGUGAAAGUUUGCGGCUCAACCGGAAAAUUGCAGUUGAAACUGGCAGUCUUGAGUACAGUAGAGGUGGGCGGAAUUCGUGGUGUAGCGGUGAAAUGCUUAGAUAUCACGAAGAACUCCGAUUGCGAAGGCAGUUCACUGGACUGCAACUGACACUGAGGCUCGAAAGUGUGGGUAUCAAACAGGAUUAGAUACCCCAGUAGUC